rnacentral:rRNA from 1 species
ACUACGGGGGGCAGCAGUGAGGAAUAUUGGUCAAUGGACGAGAGUCUGAACCAGCCAAGUAGCGUGAAGGAUGACUGCCCUAUGGGUUGUAAACUUCUUUUAUAUGGGAAUAAAACGUUCCACGUGUGGGAUUUUGUAUGUACCAUAUGAAUAAGGAACGGCUAACGCCGUGCCAGCAGCCGAGGUAAUACGGAGGAUCCGAUCGUUGUCCGGAUUUGUUGGGUUUAAAGGGAGCGUAGGUGGAUUGUUAAGUCAGUUGUGAAAGUUUGCGGCUCAACCGUAAAAUGGCAGUUGAUACUGGCAGUCUUGAGUACAGUAGAGGUGGGCGGAAUUCGUGGUGGAGCGGUGAAAUGCUUAGAUAUCACGAAGAACUCCGAUUGCGAAGGCAGUUCACUGGACUGCAACUGACACUGAGGCUCGAAAGUGUGGGUAUCAAACAGGAUUAGAUACCCUUGUAGUC